rnacentral:rRNA from 1 species
UCCUGCUCAGGGAAUCGCUGGCGGCGCGUCCAANCCAUGGAGGAUAAGGGGGCUCGCAAGAGCAACCGGCGAACGGGUGCGUAUCUGCUGAACAACCUGCCAUACAAUGUGGGGGAUAGCCGGGCUAACGCCCGGGUAAUACCGCAUACGUUCUCUUGGAGGAGUCUCCGGGAGAGGAAAGCUCCGGCGCACGGGGAGGGGUUCGCGGCCUAUCAGCUGGUUGGCGGGGUAAUGGCCCACCAAGGCGACGACGGGUAGCUGGUCUGAGAGGAUGGCCAGCCACAUUGGGACUGAGAGACGGCCCAGACUCCUACGGGAGGCAGCAGUGGG